AUUGAACGCUGGCGGCAGGCUUAACACAUGCAAGUCGAGCGGGGGAAGGUAGCUUGCUACCGGACCUAGCGGCGGACGGGUGAGUAAUGCUUAGGAAUCUGCCUAUUAGUGGGGGACAACAUCUCGAAAGGGAUGCUAAUACCGCAUACGUCCUACGGGAGAAAGCAGGGGAUCUUCGGACCUUGCGCUAAUAGAUGAGCCUAAGUCGGAUUAGCUAGUUGGUGGGGUAAAGGCCUACCAAGGCGACGAUCUGUAGCGGGUCUGAGAGGAUGCACCGCCACACUGGGACUGAGGAACGGCACAGACUCCUCCGGGAGGUAGCAGUGGGGAAUAUUGGACAAUGGGGGGAACCCUGAUCCAGCCAUGCCGCGUGUGUGAAGAAGGCCUUAUGGUUGUAAAGCACUUUAAGCGAGGAGGAGGCUACUUUAGUUAAUACCUAGAGAUAGUGGACGUUACUCGCAGAAUAAGCACCGGCUAACUCUGUGCCAGCCGCCGCCGUAA
rnacentral:rRNA from 1 species